AACUGCUCAGCCACCGCACCUCCUUUACCUUACUUACACAAACAUAAGAAUUUCUUUGAAUGUUCAUUAUACCAAAUGGUAAAUUUAAAAAAGAUGAUCUGUCAUAAUUAUAAGGCAUUUUGUCUUCGAUUGUCAAAAUCAAGGAUGAGUUCAGUAUUUCACAUGACCAUGCAGACCCAGUUGCGAUGUGAUGCAGACAAAGCCGUUGUCCAGCAUGGGUCUGUUUUAUUUUUGUUUGCGCCAUAACAAGCAAGUAAUAACCACUUGUUUUUUUCUUAAUGACUGAUUUGAUUUAAAUAUAACUGCUUUUAAUUUUCUUUACUGUCCAGUGCUCAUGUGGUAUCCUUCAUAAUGUUUCCUUUAAGAGAGAUAAAAAGAGUUUAGAAAUAAAAACAUCAACUGCUGAGUCAGGAUUUUGUGUUUUUACCAUCACAAAGGAGAUACAAGACUCAGUUUAGAAAGACAGACACAAAAACUCUUUGUUCAUUAGGCAAUCAAAUCAUUAAAUACAAUUCAACUAGCUGAUAUAAACAUUUCACAUGUAACUUUGGAGUGAAUCUGGUGUGAAUGUAUAUUUUGUUUUUUAAAAUUAUAAUGCUGUUUUUUUGUGUGUGUGCACAAAUAGUUAGACAAAUUUACUCAUGGGUAAUAGAGAUUAUUUUUAUAGUCAACAUUGCAUCUUCAGAGCUAGUUUCUAGUUUAUGACUAAAUGAGUGAAAUAUUUUAACAAGUUUAGGGUUAGCAUAAUAAUUUAUUUAAUUUUUUUUAUUUACAGAAUAAUAUAUUUAGUUGAUUCUGUUGUUUUAUUAGUGUGUGUGUGUUUGUGCUCCAACAGUCUUUAAGAGUGACAGUGUUUUCUGUUAUUGAUUUCAAGUGUAUUUGGUCUGGGUACAAUGCUGUUGAUUUCAAUGUGUUAUUUCUGUUGUAUUUGGUCUGGGUACAAUGCUGUUGAUUUCAAUGUGUUAUU